GACGAACGCUGGCGGCGCGCCUAACACAUGCAAGUCGAACGGAGCUUGAGAGAGCUUGUCUUUUUUAAGUCUUAGUGGCGAACGGGUGAGUAACGCGUGAGUAACCUGCCCUGGAGUGGGGGACAACAGUUGGAAACGACUGCUAAUACCGCAUAAGCCCACAGCUCGGCAUCGAGCAGAGGGAAAAGGAGUGAUCCGCUUUGAGAUGGCCUCGCGUCCGAUUAGCUGGUUGGUGAGGUAACGGCCCACCAAGGCGACGAUCGGUAGCCGGACUGAGAGGUUGAACGGCCACAUUGGGACUGAGACACGGCCCAG
rnacentral:rRNA from 1 species